rnacentral:misc_RNA from 1 species
UACGGAGGGUGCAAGCGUUAUCCGGAAUUAUUGGGCGUAAAGCGUCCGCAGGCGGUUUAUUAAGUCAAAUAUUAAAUCUUGAAGCUCAACUUCAAGGCCGUAUUUGAAACUGGUAAACUAGAGUCUUCUAGAGGCACGUGGAAUUCUGUGUGUAGGGGUAAAAUCCGUAGAUACACAGAGGAACACCAAAAGCGAAGGCAGCGUGCUGGGGAAGUACUGACGCUCAUGGACGAAAGCGUAGGUAGCGAACGGG